UACAGAGGGUGCUAGCGUUGUUCGGAAUCAUUGGGCGUAAAGGGCGUGUAGGCGGUUUGUUAAGUCAUGUGUGAAAUCCCUCGGCUCAACCGGGGAACGACGCAUGAAACUGGCAAGCUAGAGUACCAAAGAGGGGGGUGGAAUUCCCGGUGUAGCGGUGAAAUGCGUAGAGAUCGGGAGGAACAUCAGUGGCGAAGGCGGCCAUCUGGGACAACACUGACGCUGAGGCACGAAAGCGUGGGGAGCAAACAGG
rnacentral:rRNA from 1 species